rnacentral:tRNA from 1 species
GGUUCCAUGGUGUAGGGGCAGCAUAUGAGGUUUUGGUCCUUAGGACCCCAGUUCAAUUCUGGGUGGGACCA